rnacentral:rRNA from 1 species
GCUCAGAUUGAACGCUAGCGGGAUGCCUUACACAUGCAAGUCGAACGGCAGCACGGACUUCGGUCUGGUGGCGAGUGGCGAACGGGUGAGUAAUGUAUCGGAACGUGCCUAGUAGCGGGGGAUAACUACGCGAAAGCGUAGCUAAUACCGCAUACGCCCUACGGGGGAAAGCAGGGGAUCGCAAGACCUUGCACUAUUAGAGCGGCCGAUAUCGGAUUAGCUAGUUGGUGGGGUAACGGCUCACCAAGGCGACGAUCCGUAGCUGGUUUGAGAGGACGACCAGCCACACUGGGACUGAGACACGGCCCAGACUCCUACGGGAGGCAGCAGUGGGGAAUUUUGGACAAUGGGGGAAACCCUGAUCCAGCCAUCCCGCGUGUGCGAUGAAGGCCUUCGGGUUGUAAAGCACUUUUGGCAGGAAAGAAACGUCCCGGGCUAAUACCCUGGGAAACUGACGGUACCUGCAGAAUAAGCACCGGCUAACUACGUGCCAGCAGCCGCGGUAAUACGUAGGGUGCAAGCGUUAAUCGGAAUUACUGGGCGUAAAGCGUGCGCAGGCGGUUCGGAAAGAAAGAUGUGAAAUCCCAGAGCUUAACUUUGGAACUGCAUUUUUAACUACCGAGCUAGAGUGUGUCAGAGGGAGGUGGAAUUCCGCGUGUAGCAGUGAAAUGCGUAGAUAUGCGGAGGAACACCGAUGGCGAAGGCAGCCUCCUGGGAUAACACUGACGCUC